GAUGAACGCUAGCGGCAGGCCUAAUACAUGCAAGUCGAACGGAUAUAUGUUUUUCGGAAUAUAUAUUAGUGGCGCACGGGUGAGUAACACGUACAUAACUUGCCCUCAAGCGGGGGAUAGCCUUGGGAAACUGAGAGUAAUACCCCAUAGAAUUAUUGGACGGCAUCGUUUGAUAAUUAAAACUACGGUGCUUGGGGAUAGAUGUGCGUCUGAUUAGCUAGUUGGUGAGGUAACUGCUCACCAAGGCGACGAUCAGUAGGGGGCGUGAGAGCGUGGCCCCCCACACGGGUACUGAGACACGGACCCGACUCCUACGGGAGGCAGCAGUAAGGAAUAUUGGACAAUGGACGGAAGUCUGAUCCAGCCAUGCCGCGUGAAGGAAGAAGGCGCUCAGCGUUGUAAACUUCUUUUGGAUGGGAAUAAUAAUGUCGACGUGCUCGGCACUUGAAGGUACCAUCAGAAUAAGCACCGGCUAACUCCGUGCCAGCAGCCG
rnacentral:rRNA from 1 species